rnacentral:rRNA from 1 species
UACGUAGGGUGCAAGCGUUGUCCGGAAUUAUUGGGCGUAAAGAGCUCGUAGGCGGUCUGUUACGUCGGCUGUGAAAACCUGGGGCUCAACCCCGGGCCUGCAGCCGAUACGGGCAGACUAGAAUUCGGUAGGGGAGACUGGAAUUCCUGGUGUAGCGGUGAAAUGCGCAGAUAUCAGGAGGAACACCGGUGGCGAAGGCGGGUCUCUGGACAGUUGCUGACACUGAGGCGCGACAGCGUGGGGAGCAAACAGG